rnacentral:pre_miRNA from 1 species
CUUGGGGAGGGGGGGCUCCCUCAGCCUGGAAUGUGAGAGGGGGCAAGGCCAGGCCGAGGGACCCCACUGGUGCACA